rnacentral:sRNA from 12 species
UAUAUUUGCAGGUAGAAAUACGCUGUAUACCCGUGUAACCGAAUUAACGUUUAAGCGACAUGUAAUGUCGUCGGCCAUGGGGCCGCCUACGGGCGGUUUUUUAUGUA